rnacentral:lncRNA from 1 species
CAAUAUUGAAAGUUGGAGGUGUUGGCUAUUUAUUAUUGGGCUAAAAUAUGUCCAAAUUUCUGCCCUGUGACAAUAGGUCCAGGAGACUAAUAAGUUGAGUUGGGUGAGCCUAAUAAAUUAAGUGGUACUGCGGUCUACAAAAACCUAACGACAAAAGACCCAAUAAUAGAUCCAACGUCCAGAUAGAUUGAGUUAAGUCGAAACCAACAAAUGCUGUUAUUGAAACCUUAAA